rnacentral:rRNA from 1 species
UACAGAGGUGGCAAGCGUUGUUCGGAAUUACUGGGCGUAAAGGGCGCGUAGGUGGCCUUCUUAGUCAGACGUGAAAUCCCCAGGCUUAACCUGGGAACUGCGUCUGAUACUGGAAGGCUUGAGUUCGGGAGAGGAAUGUGGAAUUCCAGGUGUAGCGGUGAAAUGCGUAGAUAUCGGGAGGAACACCAGUGGCGAAGGCGACUACCUGGCCUGUUCUUGACGCUGAGGCGCGAAAGCUAGGGGAGCAAACGGG